AACGGGUGAGUAAUAUAUCGGAACAUACCCAGUAGUGGGGGAUAACUAUCCGAAAGGAUAGCUAAUACCGCAUACGAUCUGUGGAUGAAAGCAGGGGAUCUUCGGACCUUGUGCUAUUGGAAUGGCCGAUAUCUGAUUAGCUAGUUGGUAAGGUAAAAGCCUACCAAGGCGACGAUCAGUAGCUGGUCUGAGAGGACGACCAGCCACACUGGAACUGAGACACGGUCCAGACUCCUACGGGAGGCAGCAGUGGGGAAUUUUGGACAAUGGGGGCAACCCUGAUCCAGCAAUGCCGCGUGAGUGAAGAAGGCCCUCGGGUUGUAAAGCUCUUUUGUCAGGGAAGAAACGGAGUUCUCUAAUAUAGGAUUCUAAUGACGGUACCUGAAGAAUAAGCACCGGCUAACUACGUGCCAGCAGCCGCGGUAAUACGUAGGGUGCGAGCGUUAAUCGGAAUUACUGGGCGUAAAGCGUGCGCAGGCGGUUUUGUAAGUCUGAUGUGAAAUCCCCGGGCUCAACCUGGGAACUGCAUUGGAGACUGCAAGGCUAGAGUGUGUCAGAGGGGGGUAGAAUUCCACGUGUAGCAGUGAAAUGCGUAGAGAUGUGGAGGAAUACCGAUGGCGAAGGCAGCCCCCUGGGAUAACACUGACGCUCAUGCACGAAAGCGUGGGGAGCAAACAGGAUUAGAUACCCUGGUAGUCCACGCCCUAAACGAUG
rnacentral:rRNA from 1 species